rnacentral:rRNA from 1 species
AUGGCGACGCUGAGAUGCACCAACCACACCCUCCUCGGCUCGCCGACCUGCCUCGCGCGCCCGCGCCGGGCGGUGGUGCGCGCCGCCGUCGCCGUCCAGGCCGAGGCGGAGCCCAAGGUCUCCCUCAUCCGGAUUGGCACGCGCGGGAGUCCUCUUGCUCUUGCACAAGCCCGUCAAACCCGUGACGAACUGAAAGCUGCACACACGGAGUUAGCCGAGGAUGGUGCCAUUGAGAUUAUCAUCAUAAAGACCACAGGAGACAUGAUCUUGGACAAACCCCUGGCGGAUAUAGGAGGCAAGGGUUUAUUCACCAAGGAGAUAGACGAUGCGCUCUUGCAGGGAAGCAUUGACAUCGCGGUCCACUCGAUGAAAGAUGUCCCAACAUAUCUACCAGAAGGCAUGAUAUUGCCCUGUAACCUCCCACGAGAAGAUGUGAGAGAUGCAUUCAUAUGCCUGACUGCAAAAACUCUUGGGGAGCUUCCUGCUGGUAGUGUUAUCGGAAGUGCUUCCCUGCGGAGGCAAUCUCAGAUUCUCUAUAAAUAUCCAUCACUAAAAGUUGUUAACUUCAGAGGAAAUGUUCAGACACGGUUAAGGAAACUUAAAGAAGGAGACGUACAUGCUACAUUGUUGGCACUGGCUGGACUAAAACGGUUAGGCAUGCCAGAAACUGCAACAUCUGUAUUAUCAGUAGACGAAAUGCUUCCAGCAGUCGCUCAGGGCGCUAUUGGAAUAACUUGCAGGAGCAAUGAUGAUAAAAUGAUGGAGUAUCUGUCCUCUUUGAAUCAUGAAGAUACCAGAUUAGCUGUUGCAUGUGAAAGAGAAUUCUUGUCUGUUCUUGAUGGUAAUUGCCGAACUCCAAUUGCGGCAUAUGCUUAUCGUGACAAGGAUGGGAACUGUUCAUUCCGGGGGCUAUUGGCUUCACCAGAUGGCUCUAUAGUAUACGAGACGUCAAGAAGUGGAACAUAUUCUUUGGAUGACAUGGUUGCGAUAGGUCAAGAUGCCGGCCACGAACUGAAAUCAAAGGCUGGACCUGGUUUCUUUGAUGGCUUGCAAUAG